rnacentral:rRNA from 1 species
GAUGAACGCUAGCGGCAGGCCUAACACAUGCAAGUCGAGGGGCAGCACAGAAACAGCAAUGUUUUGGUGGCGACCGGCGGACGGGUGCGUAACGCGUAUGCAACCUACCUUUAACAGGGGGAUAACGGAGAGAAAUUUCCACUAAUACCCCAUAACAUCGAUCAAGGCAUCUUGAUUGGUUGAAAACUCCGGUGGUUAAAGAUGGGCAUGCGUUGUAUUAGGUAGUUGGUGAGGUAAUGGCUCACCAAGCCUACGAUACAUAGGGAGACUGAGAGGUUAGCCCCCCACACUGGUACUGUGACACGGACCAGACUCCUACGGGAGGCAGCAGUGAGGAAUAUUGGUCAAUGGGGGCAACCCUGAACCAGCCAUGCCGCGUGCAGGAAGACGGCUCUAUGAGUUGUAAACUGCUUUUAAACAGGGAUAAAGCACAGUAUGUAUACUGUGUUGAAGGUACUGUAAGAAUAAGGAUCGGCUAACUCCGUGCCAGCAGCCGCGGUAA